CAGGCCCCCACCAGGCACCCCCAUCUGCCGGCCCCACUUGCUCGGCCGUCAUGUUCCGUCAUGUUCGCAUGGCUCUGUUGGAGACCCAGGACUAGAAAGACGAACAAGCUAAGUAGUGUCUGACUCUCAGGAUGACCAGGAGUCCAGUUCACCGGGCGACCCUCCAGGGAACCACCUACAGCAGGCAAGCCAUCUGCACAGGCAGCUGCCAGGCUGAGGGCGCUGGGUGCUGGGGCAGUGGCCUCCCUGAGCUCUGGGUGGUGCGAGCUGGACGCAGCCCUGAGGCGGCACGGGCUUCUCCCCCGCAGAAGGGCGGGAAGGUCAGCAUAGCCAGCGGCUGCAGGCGACUCUGUCUGCAGGGCGGGCUCCAGGAUCUGCGGUGCAGAGGCCUUUAGAGAGGCCCCUCUGCUGACCAAGGGAAAGACAACCCCCACCCACCAGCACAGGCCCCACCGUUUCUGUCAACAGCGAAGCACGGAGUCCUGCCAGGAGAAGCAGCUUUGAAUUCAGGUAGGAAGCUGAUCAGAGCGAGGAUCACACAGAGCUGCCCGUUACUGGACGGGUUUGGAAGGGAAACACGCCCAUCCUUCUGAGGGACACAAAGGGCUUUCUCUCUGAUCAGCACUCUUCAGGAACAAUGUCAAAGCUUUUGCAAAAAGCAAGUAUUCCCCGCUGCCCUCCCCUCCUCCUCUAGGCGGUCUUUAGGUCCCAGGACUUGGGGGCCUGCGGAGGGUGGUUUCUGAGGCCUGAACCCGCUGACAACCAGCAGCCAGAGGCACGGGCAACUGGCUCCGCGUCCUGGGUGUCCGUGUUAGCAGGCUCCCGCUCACCGGCAGGGGUGGCGCUCAGGUGCGGCGGGGGAGCAGGAAACCAGGGGAAACUGCCCACAAGAGGAUAGGCUCCGGACUCACCCCAGGCCAAAGCCAGGCACCUGCCAGCCCCGCCAGUCCCCCACCCACCAGGCCUCUGGGCCAGGAUGUGGGGCUUGGAGCCCGCCGCCAGCUGGCUGGGUCUCAGGGCCAGGUCCCGACCACUCCCAAGCCUCAGCUUUUCUGUACCUGGAAAAUAGAAGUUAACAAUGUUGUCUUAGCAGGCUCACCCUGUGCACAUUACGUGCCUGGCUCUGCCUUUACUUCAACGACCUCUAAUGCUUCUCUACUGCCUAGGGGACCAUCAACUCCAAAUUACUGAGCAUGCCAUUUGAGGGAGAAAUUACCCAUUAUAUCUUCCACUCCCGGCAACCUUUCUCCAGCUUUACUGAAACUGUGUUCAGAAUGACAGAAAUAAAGGACAACAGUGCACACGACAGGUUCCUCUCUCAUGUGUGACCAGGCACAGCCUCUGCUUGCACCCAAGAGUUGCUGGGCAUGCCCGGAUGCAGAGAGAUCCUGAGACUGCAGAUCUGGUAUUAACAGUGGGACCCAGCCACCUGCCACGCGCCUCCACAGCCUCAGGACUCACACUUACAACAUUUCAUCUCCACAGCAGUCACCUGACAGGGAUGUGCUCACAUGCAUCACCCCGAUGAGGAAAUGGGGAUGGGGUGCCUAGCAACUGCAUUAAGGUCACAUAGGCUGCACAUUAAAGAACUGGAAUUUCAACCCUGGCAGCUGUCUGGGGAAGCCAUUAAUACCAUGUAAACUACUGUGUGUACCUCAAUAUAAAAAUGUUUUUUAAAAAUAAGGUAGACCAACAUAUACUGACGUGCUAAGCUAUUCAAUAUGUUUUGUUAGGAGAUAAAAGUAUGUGCAAAACAAUUUAAAAUAUAACUGCUGCACUGAACCGAGCCCAGGUGAGAGAAAAUUAGAUAAAAUGGGAUGAUUUUCUCUGAAACAAAGUGCACUGAAAUCAGAUUCUGGUUAGCUCUUCUUUUCAGCGUUGGUAUUCAGUGUAUUAUUUCCUAACUUGGUUCAGGCAGAACCUUAAAAAUAGGUGUGACAUCUUUUACCUGAUAAAGAUCCCGCCGCCUGUCUCAUCACUGGUGUGUGGAGGCAGGUUGGCCACAUGAGUGCAGAAGAGGGGCUAGAAAGUAGACAAUUGGUGGGAAAGGGUGCACAGUCAGGUGUGGGGGGCUGGCAGCAGGGGUGUGCUGGAGAGCAGCCUUUUGGGCCUGGGAGGCCUGGCGGGUGGCCUCUGCCAGGCACCCGCUUCCUGGUGUAACGGCUCCCACUGUGCCUGACUCCAAGCGUGGGAAGAGGUGUGGACGAGCGGCUCCCACACCCACACUGCUGCUUGGAGGGCUCAGGCCUAGUGCAGUAGAGACCCCUGCUCCUGUGCGGGGACUCGGCCAGUGACCAGGCAGCUUAUACGCAGUGACACGGAGGGAGGCGACAAGGGGGACAGUGAGGCAAGCCUGAGCCUCUGGCUCCUGUGGUGCAUCUCUCCUAUGGAUGCGUGUGCCCACCUCCAAGGACAGGCCUAGUGGCCCUUCCUUUGUGGCUACAGUUGGAUUGCGAGCUCCUCUGAUGGUUCCCGUGGGGCCUCUGCCAGCCCGGCCGUUGUCCGCGUCUCGGUGGGGAGGGGGCAGGUCCUGUGAGGCCCCUGCUGAAGCCCCACUGUGAUGGCAUUUGGAGGUGGGCCUCUGGAAGGCAAGCAGGUGGUGAGGGUGGCGCCUGAGAUGGGAUGCGGGUCCCUUUAAGAGCAGGAGGACAGCUGGCCCCCUGUUGGCUCUUGGCCACAUGGGGCUGCACGGAGAAGGGUCCUGAUCAGACACCGGAUCGGCAGCCCCUUGACCUUGGAUUCCCAGCCCCCACAACCUUGAGAAACCACUUGCGGUUUAAGCCACCCAGUCCGUGGCAUUUUUGGUACAGCCGCCCAGACUCAUGUGCCCUCAUAGACAAGCUAAGACAGAGGGUUACUGACUAUGCUUUAAAAAGAGAGAAGACAUUUAAUAUUGUGCUGUUUCCUCUUCUCUUCUGCUACCUUCAGCAACUUUUAAAACCCAUUCAUAGCCAUUGUCUCGGCCUGUGUGAUACACAGUUUAAACAAGCAGAACUGCAGAGAGCAGGACACCCAGGUGCAGCCGAGUCCCCGGCCAAGGCACCUGUGCCCCACAGCCAGUGUGAUGAGCAGCACAUCCUCCCAGCACCGGGGGAACACAGCAGGACAGGAGUGUGCGGUGCGCCCCACUGAGUCCUCAGGGCCACAGGAGAGACAGCAGAUGCGCGCCUGAAUCAGUGUCACCAUCAUACGUGGAAACAGGACACACGAUGAGUCAAAAGGGGCCUUGGACAUAAUGUCUCAAUUUCUUCUCAUUAAAAAGGACAAAUAAAAUGUAUUAACAGCUAGGUUUUUCCUUACUCUUUUCUCUAGAUCAGUGGUUCUCCAACCAGGGGUGGUUUUGCCCCAGGGGACAUUGGGCGCUGACCACAGAGACUGUGGCUGUCACCCUCGGUGAGGGGCGCUCCUGGCGCCAAUGGGCAGGGGCCAGGGAUGCUGGCAAACACCCUCCAGCACGGGGGACACACAGGACAGCGCCUGCAACUGUCGAGAGUGCCUAGGCUGGGAAACCCAGGGCUGUGCACAGGAAGCUGUUUUCCAAAAACUAAAGCCAUGAUCUUCUUGCUCCAAAAAGAAAUCAUACCCACAAAUCAUGUUUUAUUAGUUGUCCAGUGCCACCUUCCAGUCAUAUCCUGUGUUUUAAUUGAAUUUUAUGAACUACCAGUACAAAUCAAUACAAUGUAUGUUUUUUUUAUACACCGAUGGCUUGAAUGUUCUUGAAGCUUUUGAACAAUAUGUAGACUGUGGACACAUAGAGGGCAAGGAAUCAGAGGUAACAACUAGCUUGUGCAUCUGGUGCUGGCUAAUGAAUAAUUUUCACAUGAAUGAAACCACUCAAUGUUAACUGUAUUUUUUUUUAAUAGUUAGAAACUGUAAUAAAAUGCAAUUUUCAAAAGCA